rnacentral:rRNA from 1 species
UACGUAGGGUGCGAGCGUUGUCCGGAAUUAUUGGGCGUAAAGAGCUCGUAGGCGGUUUGUCGCGUCGACUGUGAAAACCUGGGGCUUAACUCUGGGCCUGCAGUCGAUACGGGCAGUCUUGAGUUCGGUAGGGGAGACUGGAAUUCCUGGUGUAGCGGUGAAAUGCGCAGAUAUCAGGAGGAACACCGGUGGCGAAGGCGGGUCUCUGGGCCGAUACUGACGCUGAGGAGCGAAAGCGUGGGGAGCGAACAGG